UACGGAGGGUGCAAGCGUUAUCCGGAUUCACUGGGUUUAAAGGGAGCGUAGGAGGGCAGGUAAGUCAGUGGUGAAAUCUUCGAGCUUAACUCGGAAACUGCCGUUGAUACUAUCUGUCUUGAAUACCGUGGAGAUGAGCGGAAUAUGUCAUGUAGCGGUGAAAUGCUUAGAUAUGACAUAGAACACCAAUUGCGAAGGCAGCUCGUUACACGAAUAUUGACUCUGAUGCUCGAAAGCGUGGGGAUCAAACAGG
rnacentral:rRNA from 1 species